rnacentral:tRNA from 1 species
GUUUGUGGCUCAAUGGUAGAGCACUUGCCUAGCAUGCAUGAGGCACUGGGUUCAAUCCUCGGCAUCACA